rnacentral:rRNA from 1 species
AGUAAAUAGAUACCUGGUAGUCCCAGCUGUAAACGAUGCGCGUUAGGUGUAUCGGUGACCACGAGUCACCGAGGUGCCGAAAGGGAAACCGUGAAACGUGCCGCCUGGGAAGUACGGUCGCAAGGCUGAAACUUAAAGGAAUUGGCGGGGGAGCACCACAACAGGUGGAGCCUGCGGUUUAAAUCGGACUCAACGCCGGGAAGCUCACCGGAUAAGACAGCUGAAUGAUAGCCGGGUUGAAGACUCUGCUUGACUAGCUGAGAGGAGGUGCAUGGCCGUCGUCAGUUCGUACUGUGAAGCAUCCUGUUAAGUCAGGCAACGAGCGAGACCCACGCCAACAGUUGCCAGCAUGUCCUCCGGGAUGGUGGGGACACUGUUGGGACCGCCUCUGCUAAAGAGGAGGAAGGAAUGGGCAACGGUAGGUCAGCAUGCCCCGAAUUAUCCGGGCUACACGCGGGCUACAAUGGUCAGGACAAUGGGUAUCAACACCGAAACGGUGAAGGCAAUCUCCUAAACCUGUCC